AUUGAACGCUGGCGGCAGGCCUAACACAUGCAAGUCGAACGAGUGGCGGACGGGUGAGUAAUGUCUGGGAAACUGCCUGAUGGAGGGGGAUAACUACUGGAAACGGUAGCUAAUACCGCAUACCAUCGGAUGUGCCCAGAUGGGAUUAGCUAGUGGGUGGGGUAAAGGCUCACCUAGGCGACGAUCCCUAGCUGGUCUGAGAGGAUGACCAGCCCACAUGGAACUGAGACACGGGCCAGACUCCGACGGGAGGCAGGCGGGGGGAAUAUUGGACAAUGGGCGCAAGCCUGAAGGAGCCAUGGCGCGUGUAAGGAGAAGGACUUCGGGUUGGAAAGUACGUUCAGCGGGGGAGCGUUACCCGCAGAAGAAGCCCCGGCUAACUCCGGGCCAGCCACCGCGGGAAUUC
rnacentral:rRNA from 1 species